GAAGAUGGUCUUAUGAGAUCAGUCUCUUCGAUUGUAACAAGCACUAAUCAGAACUUUAAAGUCUCGACGCCCCCGUUUCUGUUAGAUUGAUGGAGAAGACCCUUUUGUUGAGAUUGCACCAUAUCUAUUCAAAGUUGUUCAGGUUCUGUAACAAUGAAGACUUGAUAUCACUGGUGGAUCUCAAUUACAAACGUUCCCCCGGUUGUCGUCUAUCUUAUUUUUUAAUUAACACAAACCAACCAGAUGCAGAUGAUGUUUGUUUGAUUGCAGAUAUUAUUCGGGAAAUAAGGGGAAUCAAGACCACUUAUAACGAUGAAAGCCAACAGGCCAGUUAAUCAUGUUCACCCUAAGAAUAGAGAGGGGCACAAAUGUCUACUUCAGUGUUUUCUACAACCCUCGCAAACAAGCUUGAUGAGAAAUUGGUACUCACGGGUGAUGAGCAUAAGGUCAUUGUAGCAACAAACAUAAACCCGAAGUUAGUUGGAGGUCGACUCUUCCUAAAUGCUACUUCAUCACACAUUUUUGUUUUGACAAAGAGUGUGUCUCUAGCCAAAGCUUCUUUGAUGCGGAUAUUGCCAGAAACUGGAAUCUGUUACAGUUGCGGAGCUUAAUGCGUAUGUCCUAAACUCGGAGCCACAAAUGCAACCUCAACUCCUCUCAUCCAUUACUUUUACUUCUAAUCUAUAUAGGUUAAUGAUUCCGAUGUCAUGCAACCACAGGCAGCAGAUUUUUCUGCACUUUUGAAGUGGACAAUAUUGACAUCUAGAACAGGUACUGUGUGCAAAUGUACGUCUCUGAUGCCUCUGAAUCUGAUUGUGUUUCUGGCUUUCGAUGUGCCAGUCACCAAGUUGACACUGCAACGGUUUCACAUCUAAUGAUCCAGAUAAGUGAUCCUUUCCACUAUGCCUAAAGGAUUUAGUGGGCAUGACCGACACUUUCCAGUUAAAGCUGGACUGCAUUCAACUUUACAACGAAACAUCAGACUUUUACAAUGGCACGGACCUUUGACCACAACGAAUAUCUGUCACAACCUAACUUUGAGGAAAAUCUAUGUUCAUACAUUAUAUGCAACUCUACACCUCGCUUGCUUUAGUAUUUAGAUAUUUUAACUAUCCAUGCCCAGGGAGGUGAUAAUAACCCAGGUGAUGAGAUGCCUAGAGCUUGAACUGUGAUAACAAAGCCCUCCCUUGGUUUAAGCAGAGCAAAACCCUUGAGGCCAGUGUAUGGAUGAAUGCAUCCGGGAUUGUUGAAGGAGCUGUUUCUGCGAGUGCACCUUCACUUGCUGAACCUAUUCCACGUCUAAUAAAUGUUGAGAGGAUGUAACUUCCAGAAGAAGAGCCAGUGAGCAAAAGUCUCCGGAAGACUUGGUUCUUUAACUUAGUGAGCUACUGUGAUGACUGAUCACCACUGCUACUCCAUUUGUAAUGUGCAUAACUACAUUUUAGACCCUCCACUGUUGGAUUUUUUUUUUUUAAUAGCCUUGGGGAGAGCGUUGCUUAUGAA